UGGGGAAUAUUGGACAAUGGGCGAAAGCCUGAUCCAGCCAUGCCGCGUGUGUGAAGAAGGUCUUCGGGUUGUAAAGCACUUUAAGUUGGGAGGAAGGGCAGUAAGCUAAUACCUUGCUGUUUUGACGUUACCGACAGAAUAAGCACCGGCUAACUCUGUGCCAG
rnacentral:rRNA from 1 species